UACGGAGGGGGCGAGCGUUAUUCGGGAUUAUUGGGCGUGAAGGGCGCGUAGGCGGCCCGGUAAGUCAAAGGUGAAAUCCCUCGGCUCAACUGAGGAACUGCCUUUGAAACUGUCGGGCUUGAGGCCGGGAGGGGGUAGCGGAAUUCCCAGUGUAGCGGUGAAAUGCGUAGAUAUUGGGAGGAACACCGGUGGCGAAGGCGGCUACCUGGACCGGUUCUGACGCUGAUGCGCGAAAGCGUGGGUAGCAAACAGG
rnacentral:rRNA from 1 species